UUUGGCCUGUUGUAUGCGCCAGACGAUUUGUCCUCGAGCCGAUAAUGCAGUACCCGGAGAGCACCUCCGUGGCGGUUGAGCAAGCCUGGUCUAAGCCGGGAAGCCUGAAGCCACGCGGUGGUCACCACCUUGAGCCGCAAGGG
rnacentral:sRNA from 1 species